rnacentral:hammerhead_ribozyme from 1 species
ACUGACUGACGAGUCCCAAAUAGGACGAAAUACGCGUUGUCCUGGAU